GACGAACGCUGGCGGCGUGCUUAACACAUGCAAGUCGAACGGAAAGGCCCUGCUUUUGUGGGGUGCUCGAGUGGCGAACGGGUGAGUAACACGUGAGUAACCUGCCCUUGACUUUGGGAUAACUUCAGGAAACUGGGGCUAAUACCGGAUAGGAGCUCCUGCUGCAUGGUGGGGGUUGGAAAGUUUCGGCGGUUGGGGAUGGACUCGCGGCUUAUCAGCUUGUUGGUGGGGUAGUGGCUUACCAAGGCUUUGACGGGUAGCCGGCCUGGGAGGGUGACCGGCCACAUGGGGACGGAGAUACGGCCCAGACUCCGACGGGAGGCAGCAGUGGGGAAUAUUGCACAAUGGGCGGAAGCCUGAUGCAGCAACGCCGCGUGCGGGAUGACGGCCUUCGGGUUGUAAACCGCUUUCGCCUGUGACGAAGCGUGAGUGACGGGAAUGGGUAAAGAAGCACCGGCUAACUACGG
rnacentral:rRNA from 1 species